rnacentral:lncRNA from 10 species
UACAAAGUGUAGCUGUUGUCUUCUUUCCCGCUCUCGAUAUGGGGUGAAGUGUUGAGCAACAUAAGAAGCUGGAGUCUCUUUCAAAGACAUCUGUACUCUAAAGGUAGCAGGUUUAUCAAAUGGCCACAAUUUGAGCAGAUGAGGAAAUGGAGGCUCGGUGAGGCUAAAUGCAAGUUCACAAAGCUAAUCUAUCCUUUUCAUCCCUCACACCUGGCCCAGGCCCAACACCUGGCACAGAGCGUGGCUCCUGCCAAGCCAUCUCGAGUGGUUUCUUCAGUGAAGAUGUGGGCAACCUCGAAAAGAACACAGAAGGUCAAGAGCAUCUGUGAAUAAACCACGGCUUUCCCUAGCCCAUUUGUUGGCAGCUCUCAAGCUAUCAGGGGCUUCCAGUCUGCAGGCUUACAGAUUGAUUUGUGAAAAGAGAAGGCCUCAGGGCUUGGAUUGACCAGCUGAGUACACUGCAGGUUAUACUACAGGGGAGACUGGCAUUUAUGAAAUGGAAGUUUCACAGGCAGAUAAUCUCUCCUGGACCUUUGGGCUUGAGGAAAAAAAGGGCAGGAAGGAGAACAGAAUUUUUACAGCCUUGUAUAUAAAGAUCUUCUUGUAAAACCAAACUUCAAAGGGAUAGAGAAUAUCGUUCCUUUCCAAUGAGUUCAUUAAUUAUCACAGCAUCUCUGCAAGGGAAGCACACUGGAUGGAAUAUUUCUCAGAUGAAGAAACUGAGUGUGAAAAGGUUUGAUUAUUAGCAGACUAGAAAAAUAUAACAUCAUACUUCCAGGCUCCUCUUCCAGUGUGCCAGCAACCUCCACCAGGCCAUUUAGGCACUCGUUAAAGAAACAUUUAUGGAGACCCUGCUUUAUGCCAGGCACUGUGCAGGGAGACAGGAAAUAUGGUCCCUGUCUUGGAGGGUUCCACAUGUCACUUGGUCACCAGGGAAGUUUGCAGAGUCUAAACAGGCAAACAAAUACCUGUGACACAAGGUGCUAAGUAGAAGGAUAGAAGAAUGGAGAAAGAGCAAAGAAGUCGCAGAAAGGAAAGUGAUGAUUAUUUUUGCCUGGGAAGAUUAAAAAAGACAUUAACUGAAAUCUUUAGUUCAUCACAAGAUUUUGACAGCCGGCAUUAGCAAAGUUCUGGAUUAACCCUUUGAAUGAAUUUGUUAAAUGAGGAUAAGCCUUCCCUCCACAUUACUGUGUUUUCACAAUCUUACAGAAUUUGUUAUCCACACCCCUACCUCCACCAGCAAUUCAAAUGUGCUAUGAAGACAGUUGCCAUAAUCCCCAACAUUUACUCAUUGCUUAUCAUGUACUAUACUAAUGUUGUUCCGUGAACUAUCCCAUUUAAUUCUCAUAGCAAAUCUAUAAGUAAAAAAUGUUUGUGUCUCCAUUGUACAGAUGAAGGAGGUUAAAGGGAUUAAGUAACUUGCCCAAGUGUUCACACUGAGAAAAAUCAGAUUUCAGAUCACUGGUAUUUAAGGAAGAGCAGCCCUUGCUCAAAUUAAGGAGGGUAAUUAUUUGUUUUGGUUACACGUCUAUUGAGUUACACAAAUUAGCAUUCAUUUUUGGAGCUAAAAAUUAAUUAAUAGCAUUUAUUUAGAUACAGUUAAUAUUCACCUUUCAUAUAAAUUUUUCCUGUUUCUCUCUUUGUAACACCCAAACUGCCCCUCCUCUAAAAAACACUCUUAAUAGAAAUGUAAAUAAAAUCACUAAUUGUAUGUCAUAUUAUGAGCUACAUAGUUGAGCUGAUGGACAAUAGUUCCCCAAGUUCAAAAUACCUUUCAUCUACGCAUUAAUGGUGACUUAUAAAGAGGCAGCUUGGGUUUUUUUAAGCUUCAGCUCAAAAUAUCCUUGACUGGGUGUGUUAAACCAAAGCACCUAAUUAGAGAUGACUUAAAGUAAUACCUUCCUUUGUCACUUAAUAUCUUCUAACCACGAAAAUCCUGAGGUUUUUACCUGUACCACAGAAACCUCACUUCCAAAGACAUGAUAAUCACUGUAGGCUUUUAGCCUCCUGAACUCAGACAAUGUGGAACGCCAGGACUCAUCUCCACCGUUACUAUAAUGGAAAAUUUCUGAUUACCGCAAUCUUCCAGCAGAGUUAAGUAGAAUCCCACAACAAAUAUCCAUUUAGAGAAAAGUGACUCACCAAUGAAUUAAUUAUUCAGAGGAUCAGUGUAGAUGGCAUUUAAAUGCUCAGUUUUUAGCCUCACAUUGCCUGGGUUUGAAUCCCAUUGCCUCUACUAAGUAUGUGACAUUGGGCUAGUUUUUCAAACUUGCUAAAUUGAAUUUACCUCAUUAGUAAAAUAUAGAUGAUAACUGGUGGAGACUGAAAGUUGCCCAGAGACCUAAUGGGUUUAGAUAAGAUUUCAAAGAAGCCUGAAUGUCUAUAAAUAAACGACCAGUGCCAGCACUGAAAUCCUUUCUCUCACAGUAGUAGAAUAAUGGCUGAGUACAUGCCUGCUCUACCAGACUGUAUUUCCUUGUCUCUCUUACAGCCGGGUGCAGCCAUGACUGAAUUAUCUCUAAGGGAGUAGGAAUGGGAAUUAGGUCAGGACACAGGGAUCCUGGGGGUGCACUCCUCAUGCUCUCUUUCCCCUUUCUCCUGCCUAUAGAUGGUAACAACUGCAACAAUUAUGGAAGACACAUGCUGAGGAACCACCCCAGCAUCCUGGGUCCCUGGAUGGAGCAGAGGCAUAUAUUUACGAGACUUAUGAGAAAAGCAGACUUCUAUCCAGUUUGAGUCAUUACAUUUUGGCGUAUUUAUAUAAUAAUAGUAUCUAAAUUAUAAAAUACUUACAAGGGUUGAGAAAGGUAAUUCAUGAGCUCUUAGCACAGUGUCUGGCACUUCAUAUAACAAAGCAUCAGCUAUUCAUGUGAGAGAUAGUGUAGGGGGUAACAGGGGAACUUUGCACCCAGAAUCUGUGUUCAAAUUCCGGCUGUUUCUUAAAAACCUGUUUAAACAGAGAGAUGCUUUGUAGUAGGGAAAGAACGACAUGAGAAGUUUCCUUCUUAUUCAGGAUCUGGCUGAGAAAACCUGUGGGCAAAGUUAGGGAUUCUUUGCAUUAUCAUCCUGAUGUUAGUUCAUUUCUGCAGUGAAACCAAGCUACUGCAGAGUUCCAAGUGCUGUGACUCAGAAGCUCUCAGCUGACCCAGAAAACCUUCAGCCAGAUUAUAGAAGACACAAGGUCAAAUAGAUAAGAAUCUAAAAGCCAAACAGAAGCCUCUAAUUAAUGCCAACAAUCUGCUCUUUAUAGCUCCAGUUUGGUCACUAGUUGACUGUUAAAUUAACUGUAGUUCAUUUCCUGGUACAGUCAACUUACAAUUAGACAUAAUAAUGAAGGGAAGUAAUGACAUUCAUGAUUUAAAAUAGCAAGUAAUACAAAAAUAAUUUUAUUUGGCUUUGGAAUUGUCGGCAUGUAGCACAUACACGUAUAUUUACUCUUUAUCAUAUACACAGGGAAAUGCCCCCUCCCAAAAGAAUUGAAAACAAUUGGCUAUCUCUGUUUUUCUGUUGCUAAUUUUCUAUUCCUGUGAUUAACUUUACACAGGACUAAAAUAAAAUUAUUUGCUUUCUUACUAGUGUGAUUAUGUGAAAUCAUUCCUGGACUGGUAUUUUAUUAAAAGACAUUCAAGCAUCUUUUAAAUCUUAACUUGACUCAUCAGGUUUCUUGAAAAUGUGAACUGUAUUUCCUCCAGCACAAUCACAAACUCCAUUCUGGUUGGGGCUGAAAGAUCCUGUCCAGGAUGCUGUUGUCCAGCUACGUCUCUCUACCCACUCCCUUCUGUGUAUGUGCCCUAUUACAAAAGGAGAGUCAAUGGAGAGACCUGAAAUUCUUUAAUGAACCGUUUUCAGUUUGGUUGUUUCAUUUCUAAGGAGCUUCACUUUUAGUGGGGCUCUUCAGGAAGAAAGGUAUUUAAGGACUACAGGAGACGAUUUGUUUCCUAACCUUUUGACCCAAGUCAAGGGUCUGGUUUUCUCCAGGCACAUUCUAUUAUCAACAGCAGGAUAUACAAGACCACAGAAGUGUACAGAGGGGAUAAUUAACAUUGGGAGGAAAAAAGUAACCUGCACUCCAUAGCUACUGAUAAGAAAGCAGCAGCAUUGCCUCCUAAAUCAGCUCCUGGAAACUCAAAGAAAGUUGGACUCCAGAAGUGACUUCAGGAUCUUUCUCUAGGAAGCCACUACACUCAAGAGGAAACUGAUUUGCCACAGCUGUAUUUCCUUAGGGUCUGGCACUUGCGUCAUUCUGGUUUUCUUCUCCUGAAGAACUAGAGUACUACCAUGGGCCUUGCUGCCUGCCAAGUGAACUUUCUGAUGCUGAGCACAGCCUGCACACCUGGGAUCACUGGAGAAGACAGACUGCCCUCCCUGCCUCCCUGCCUCCCUGAAGGAGGGAUUUAGUAGAGGUCAUUGGGUUAAAGCCAUAAGAACACAUACAUCUCACUUAGAUUUCAAGGACACAGUAUAAAAAGAAUAAAAAGAAGUGUUAACUUCUUAAAGCCAUGAAAGGAAUUUCAGGAAGACUGUAAGCAGCAAUUGAGGGCCAGCACAGGGAAAGGAAACUGGAAAGUGAAGGAGACCAGACGGUGGUGGAACAGAUCGAGACCGUGGAUGGAUGAGGGAUGAGGAAAUAAUUAUACAAUCCAUCACACUUCUCUUAUUGUUGCCAGAAGCUCAGAGUGAAACUUAUGAUAUAAAAAUAGUAACUAUAUUGGCUUUCAUCACUAGACUAUCUGCUCUCACCUCCCUUUAGAGGGUUUAGGGUUUUUGUUUUGUUUUGUUUGAACAAUAUGAGGUGUAUCUAAAUAUAUACAUAUUGCAUAUGUAUUAAUUUCUACAUUUUCCAUUUACAAUAAUAAUGGAUCUGUCCUAGCCUUGCUAAAAGCCCAUGUGACCUCAGACUUCUAUAUGGAAGGAGCGAUUUUAAAAAGUAGCACGAAAUAAAAAGCCAGAAAUCUUCUGUUGAUCUUCUUCUCUCGGUAUAGCUCAAGAAGUCUUCAUUGGGAAUCGAAUUUGUGUUGAGCUCUGAAUUAAAUGCUGUGAAAAACAUAAAACAGAAACGGUGACCAUGAUACUUAGGAGCUUAGCAUCUUGGAGAGGCUGACUAUACAAAAACAUAAUAGUUCAUGUAAAAAGCUGGCUCAUGUGGUUAUAUUGUGUGAGUAGUAAACCUCUGUUUUUGUAAGUGAUUGAGAUUUUGCAGGUCUCCUACACACAGCACACCCUAAUCCAGUGAUUCUCACAGUGUGGGGCCCAGACUAGCCUCAUCAGCAUCACCUAAAUAUUGCUAGAAACAAAAAUCUUCAGGUCCCACCUCAGACAUACUGAACCAGAAACUCUGGGGUGGGGCCCAGGAAUCUGUGUACUAUGUCAGGGGAUUCUGAUGUGCUAAAGUUAAGAAAAUUCCAACCACAAUAUUCUUUACAAUGCCCCACAUUUUCCCCUCUUCCACCUCCUGUAACACAGGACCAGAUCAUGCAACUCUACAUAAUCCAAAAUGCAACGGCAGAUAGAGGAAGAAUAGAAUUCAAACAGAAGCCACCUUACUGAAGGUCCAAGCUAGCAGUUCCCUUUGUAAAAGUUAGACUCAAAUAUUUACACAAGAGGUUGUUUAAAAUGGUAUAAGCUCAAGGGAAGGUGGCUGAAAGACACAAAUUCAAAGAAAAGAAAAGACCACAAUUAUUGAUCAUCUCCUAUGUGUUAUUUGAUCCACCACUUCCUUACCUAGUUCCUUAACCCAAACCUACAAAGAAGGCAAAAUUAUCAUUUCCAAUUUACAGAGGAAGACAGAGAACCUGAGAGCAUUCAAGGAACUUUCCCAAGACUCUACAGUUUGUAUAUGGUAGAGUGGAUUUGAAAGCAAAUCUGUCUGACCUGACCACAGAGCCUGUGCGCCCUACAACUCACCUCCAUUAAAGAAAUAAGCUAUUUUGUGAGAGUGCCUGAGAGCUCGGAGGCCUGAGUAAUGAGUCAACCCCCUGAUCAUAUUACCAACUCUACCCCUAAUUUGUUGGGCGUCACUUCACUAUUGUGCCUGUAGAGUUUUUUUGCUUGAAAAAUGAGAGAUUCUGCUACUUACCACCCACUUACUUACCUGGAAUGAAUUGAGGUAUGUAAAACUUGAGAGAACUAAGGAUGAAAAGUGUUAUAAAUAGUAUUAUUACAAGUAGCAAUAAAUCACGUAAAGAAUGUAAUGUGCAGGUUGGAACAUAAACUGGAAUUAAGUCUCAUAAAUAUAAAAUAACCCAAAGCAUGUGGUUCUUUGAAUUCUGACAGUAAAAUGUUUCACCUAAAUUUUAAGUUACAGAGGCAUCCAAGGAGCCACCUCAGAAAGGCACCCUCUGAGAACACUGGGGUAGGAAAAUAACAAGGAACUUUUUUUUUUUUUUUUAGAUGGAGUUUUGCUGUGUUGCCC